rnacentral:lncRNA from 1 species
UCCUAUUCACCAUGUGUGAGCGACAUUUCUCAAACCACAGAGUUCUGAAUUAAAUACAAUUCAGUGAGGGGGGAAAACAGUCACCAUAAUGCCAGUUUCAGGCAAAGGACUUUACAACCAAUGGCUUUGGCUCCUUCAGUAACUGAACACCUGUGGGUAACUCACAGGCAGAUCCACUGAAUGCUGAACACCUGUAGAGAACUAUGCAACUCAACUAUAGAGAACAUUCUAGAAUCUAUAGCAAAGAUCUUUGCCAAGACUGAGCUACAGGCCAAGGGAAACCUGCAAGCAUGCUUCGUGGAAUCAUAUUCCAAGAUUCAAGCAGUGACCAGCAAACAAACUUCUUCUACAAUUUGUAUGCAAGCAAGACUUAGGGAUCUUAAAAUAAAACAGUGCGUUUUCACCUU